rnacentral:rRNA from 1 species
CCUCCUGCAAAAAUCAAUAUAUAGGAGGUCUCACCUGCCCAGUGACAAUUUAAACGGCCGCGGUAUUUUGACCGUGCGAAGGUAGCGCAAUCACUUGUCUCUUAAAUGAAGACCUGUAUGAAUGGUAGAACGAGGGCUUAACUGUCUCCCUUUUUAAGUCAAUGAAAUUGAUCUGCCCGUGCAGAAGCGGACAUAAUAAUACAAGACGAGAAGACCCUUUGGAGCUUAAGACUCCAGAUCAACUAUGUCAAGAACUUACCAAGUUAAACCAAAUAACACCUGAUCCUAGCCUUUAGUUGGGGCGACCGUGGGAGAAAACAAAGCUCCCAUGAGGACUGGACCCACCUCCAGAACCAAGAAAGACAUUUCUAAGUCACAGAACCUCUGACCAUAAUGAUCCGGCCACCACCCGAUCAACGAACCAAGUUACCCUAGGGAUAACAGCGCAAUCCCCUUUCAGAGUCCAUAUCGACAAGGGGGUUUACGACCUCGAUGUUGGAUCAGGACAUCCUAAUGGUGCAGCCGCUAUUAAGGGUUCGUUUGUUCAACGAUUAAAGUC